AGAGUUGCAUCAACUAUUGGAGUUAGUGCAGAUAAGAUUACUGAUGCAUAAAAGUGGAAAUUAACAAUCAACUUGAGCAAAACCAUAAAAAUGCCAGAGUAGUUAAAGUUACUUCUAACGCAAGACUCAACUCGAGUAGCGAAACAGAGGGGGUUAGCCACACAAUGUGCAUUUUCAUCUAUGAUUCUUAUUUUACAUUCAUA
rnacentral:lncRNA from 1 species